rnacentral:rRNA from 1 species
GCCUAUUAGUGGGGGACAACAUUCCGAAAGGAAUGCUAAUACCGCAUACGUCCUACGGGAGAAAGCAGGGGACCUUCGGGCCUUGCGCUAANAGAUGAGCCUAAGUCGGAUUAGCUAGUUGGUGGGGUAAAGGCCUACCAAGGCGACGANNNNNAGCGGGUCUGAGAGGAUGAUCCGCCACNNUGGGACUGNNNCACGGCCCAGACUCCUACGGGAGGCAGCAGUGGGGAAUAUUGGACAAUGGGGGNNNCCCUGAUCCAGCCAUGCCGCGUGUGUGAAGAAGGCCUUUUGGUUGUAAAGCACUUUAAGCGAGGAGGAGGCUACUAGUAUUAAUACUACUGGAUAGUGGACGUUACUCGCAGAAUAAGCACCGGCUAACUCUGUGCCAGCAGCCGCGGUAAUACAGAGGGUGCGAGCGUUAAUCGGAUUUACUGGGCGUAAAGCGUGCGUAGGCGGCUGAUUAAGUCGGAUGUGAAAUCCCUGAGCUUAACUUAGGAAUUGCAUUCGAUACUGGUCAGCUAGAGUAUGGGAGAGGAUGNNNGAAUUCCAGGUGUAGCGGUGAAAUGCGUAGAGAUCUGGAGGAAUACCGAUGGCGAAGGCAGCCAUCUGGCCUAAUACUGACGCUGAGGUACGAAAGCAUGGGGAGCAAACAGGAUUNNNUACCCUGGUAGUCCAUGCCGUAAACGAUGUCUACU